AGUUCUGAGAAGUCCGAGUUCCUCUUCGAAGGUCAGGAGGUGGCCAGCCUUCUUGCUACCAGGAUGCCAUCUGUCAGCCAGCAGUGACCAGAUCUCAGGAGGGAGAAUGUUCGCCUCCCCCAGCAUUCCUGUGAAGGGAGCGAAGCUGGUGGAAGGGAGAACCGUCUUGAGGUUCUAGGUGUUCCAGUCAUGUUGUUUUUUGGCCAGUGAGGGACCCAAUGGUGCAUCCUAUGGACAGACAGUCCUGAGUACAGCAUCAAUGCAGCCAUAAAGAGAAAUCUAAGAAGUUUUGAGGAAAGGAAACUGAGGCAGGAGAAACUCAACUAGACAUGAGUACACCAAAGACCAUCGGUUUCUUCACUUCUCAGCUGACCGGAGAAGUCAUCCUGAGGGAGAACAAGAAUGGUGAAGGGAAUCAGGCUCCAUUAACUAUCCAUGAGCUGGUGCUUGGAACUGCCACGAGGUAUCCUGACUUGAUUGCUCUGGGGACGAGAAACGUGGAUGGAUGGGAAACCAUAACCUACAUCGAGUAUUAUGAGUUGUGUCGGAAGGCAGCAAAAUCCUUCCUCAAGCUUGGCCUCGAGCGCUUUCACGGCGUGGGGAUCUUGGGCUAUAAUUGCACUCGGUGGUUCGUCGCUGACAUUGCCAGCAUUUUUGCCGGAGGCAUUUCUGUGGGCAUUUUCCCCAACAACUCUUCCCAAGCCUGCCGGUUCAUUGCUGAAAACUCUGAGGCUAACAUCUUUAUGGUGGAGAAUGAUUGGCAGCUUCAGAAAAUCCUCAAGGUCCAGGAUCACUUACGUCAUCUGAAAGCUAUUGUCCAAUAUAAAGACAAACUCACAAAGAAGUUACCUAAUACUUACACCUGGGAAGAAUUCCUCACCCUAGGGGUAACUAUUUCUGAUGAAAUGCUGGACAAAGUCAUUGAUUCCCAGAAGCCCAACCAGUGCUGUAUGCUGGUCUAUACUAUGGGGACCACUGGACCACCAAAGGCAGUUAUGCUCAGUCACGACAAUAUCACAUGGACCUCAGCAGCUGUGCUCCAAAGCCUUCCCUACACUUAUCCUCCUGAAAAUCAAGAGGUCUUGGUGAGCUACCUCCCCCUCUGCUUGAUCAAUGCUCAGAUAUUUGAAAUCUGGAUCCCUGUUACCAUUGGGGCAUCCAUCUUCUUUGCUGAACCUGAUGCCAUGAAGAUUCAGGGAUCCCUGAUAAACACACUGCUGGAGGUGAGGCCUACUACCUUCUGUGGAGUCCCCGAAGUCUGGGAAGAGCUGAUGCAGAGAAUGAGAUCAGAUCAGAUGUCAGCUGCCUCAUUCAAGAGGAAUUUGAUUGUUUGGGCCAGGAAAAUGGGAUUAAAAGCAUACAAGAACCGGGAAUCUGAUGACCACUUUCCUCUCGGCUUCCGUGUGGCCAAGAAGCUAGUAUAUCACAAGGUGCGCCAGGAUCUGGGCCUUGAUCGCUGUCUCCAGUUUCUGAGCUUGGGCUCUGGCCUCUCCAAAGAAAUCCAGGACUUCUUCCUCAGCUAUAACAUUAUCCUGAUGCCGAUAUAUGGGAUGACAGAGUGCACGGGACCUCAUUCUGUCUCUUACCAGAAAGAAUUCAAGCUAUAUAGCUGUGGGAAGGCAAUCGCGGGCUCCCACAACCUGGUCCGGAAUACAGACCAAGAAGACAUAGGCGAAUUCUACCUCUGGGGCAGACACCUUUCCAUGGGCUACCUGAACAAUGAAUAUAAGACAAAAAAGGCCUUUGACCAAAAAGGCUGGCUGCACACUGGAGACCUGGGCACCUUGGAUAACGAGGGCUUUAUCCACAUCAUUGGCAGGAUAGAAGAAGUCAUCAUUACCAAUCAAGGGGAAAAAAUCUUUCCUGUCCCAAUGGAGAAUAUGCUGAAGGAGAAUAUCCCCAUUAUCCACCAUGCUAUCAUCGUGGGAAACCAAGCCAAAUUCCUGAGUGUACUGCUGACACUAAAGUGUGAGAUCAGUUCGGACACAGGUGAGCCUCAUAACAUGCUGACGCAAGAAGUCAUCAAUUUUUGCCGAAAGAACAAUAGUAAGUCAGUCAAAGUGACAGACAUCACGAAUAACCAAGACCCCAUCAUUGAUGCCAUAAUACAGAAAGGCAUUGAUGCAAUCAACGAGCAACCUGAACAUGAGAAUCACAAGAUCCUCAAAUGGAAAGUCUUAGAGAAGGACUUCUCAAUUAUGGGUGGAGAACUAGGGAGUUUUCACAAACAUUGACACAUCUGACUUAGAGCCAUGUGAGCAUUCCCUCUACUGGUGCAGCUCACAACCUGUCCAUGCCUUCUUAGCUCCUGGAAUGUCUGUCCGUGCCCUACCUAACAGCGCCCCUGCUGGCUCUGCCCCUGUGCUACCCCUUUUCCGCUGCACUAGUGAGGUCGACCUCGAAGAUGCGACGGUCGCACAUCACCAGAAAGUAUCAAAUGAUGAUCGCCAGUUUCUAUAUCUAGCUCUGUAGUCUGGGUGUCCAGGUUGCCACCGACCAUGGAAGGCUGCCUUUUUUACCACCUGCACGUGGUUCCAUGAAGAAUGUAACCAUCCUGAAUUUGGCACGGUGUU